AAAAGUAAUCAAAUUCUCUAUUUCCUCUUUUACCCUUCUUCUUUCUGGAGGUCUCUCGAGCUUUCCUGGUUCUUCAUAAUUAUCUGUGAUAAGAUUAAGGCCAUUCUUCAUCGCCCUCGAAUCCAUCUAGGAGUUCAUACAUUCGGAUCUUGCUGUCCCAAUCAUCCCUGUGAUAAGAGGAACCUUGGUUUCGGGGUGAUUUAAUCUCAAAUACCGGCUAGCUCGAGUCUCUGCACAUUAGCAUUGAGGUCCUGCCAUCUCGUUAUAUGGAAGAGCAGUUCAUACUCAGAGUCCCACCAUCUAUUGCAGAGCGAUUAGACCGCCUUCUUAGUGAAAGUGAAAAUGCGUCAUCUUCUGAAGACAAAUCAUUGGAUUUGACCUUUUCUGAGGAUGGGAGGAGUGGGACAUUUGUCAUUGCCAAUGACCAUUUCCCUGCAUCUCUCUUGGAUCUUCCUUCUGUUGUGGAAUCAUAUAAAACAUAUGAUGACAGUGUGUUGAUCAAGACUGCAGACAUUGGCCAGAUGAUUAUGGUUAGAGAAGCAGGUGAUCCUGCUCCAGACAUGGUGGAGUACAGACAUGGUCUCACCCCUCCUAUGAGGGAUGCUCGGAAGCGGAGAUUUCGCAGGGAGCCAGAUCUAAAUGUAUUAAAUAAUUCAUUGCAAAGCUUUGCUAACAAACAUAACAGCAAGAUUGUGAAGGAGAAAGAAGGAAAAAGGAAAAAAGAAUCUGUGCUAUCGCUUUGGCAUAUGCCUGAGCUUGUACAGCGUGUCUUGAAAGAUCUAGUGAAGAUCAGUGCCGGUUCAACAGCCGAGAAUGUUGAUAUCCUUAUAUGUUAUGUGCUUUUCACUUUAUUGAUGUUCCUGGCAUACUUUUUACUUGAUUAAUGUUGCUUGUUGCAUGAUUUUACAAGCAGGAAAAUAGUCUGUGCUUGGGCAGUGCCUAUUCUUGGGGAAAAUAUGAGUGCAAAUUGAGGUUUUCUUUGUUGUGAAACGUAUGAUAAGUCAUAGUUGAAAAUGUAAGACAGUUGUAUUGGCAGCUGUAGCGAUUCAGAGACUUCCACUACUUUUUGUGGAUUGAUUAUUCCUUGAUUAAGUGGCUCACAUGCUGAAACAGCUGAACAAGAGGAAGAUGGAGACGGAAGUGCUCGUUAUGUGAGUAAAAAACCUGCACCUGCUCCUGCACCCGUUGCAAAGGCCAAUGCCCCGGAGGUUGGAACAAAUGCUGGGGAGCGUGACAGAAGUGACUCUGAUGAAUCUGAUGACUCAAUCUGACUUGAAGCCUCUUCUAGAAUUGAAAAGGUGUAUAGGAUUAACAAGAGCUGUAACCUGUUGUUCCUGCUUAGUUUGGAGUAUUUUCUUGAGUUUGCAGUCUCUAUUUGUUAUUUAAUUUACUGAAUAUUUAGCUAUAUGGCAAUUUCUUCUAGAAAUGGUGUUGGACAGUGCCAAAUACGUUGGCAAACUAGAGCAUUGCCCGACUCUUCACCUACUUUAUGUUUUUCCUUAACCUGUGUGGUCAGAAUUUCUUCAGCUAGGGAAGAAAUUAGGGUGUUGGGAAAUGCUAAUCUGCCUGGCCUGGCCUACAGAAUUGGACUUGUUCCUGUUGGUGAAUAUGAAAGCUCCCCCCUCUUAUAAGCC